CCCACUCACCCUGCAAGAGAAUUACAUGCUGUGAGACCAGGGGUUUCAGGUACCUCUGCGUUUCUACAUGCUUAUAAAAAUGGAAUGAUCUUUAACAUUGGAAGUGUUUUUAACCCAGAGCAGGAUGUUUUCCCAUGAGGCAUUACUAAUUAUUUGUAUUGCAGGCGCACCCACGCAUCCUGGGAACAGAGCAGAUGUCUAUGGUGCACCAUAUUGCACAAAAGAAGCACAGUGAGGGAGCUUCCACCCCAAAAUGCAUUACCCACUGAGUCAGUAGAGACAGCUCAAAGCCACGGGUCCUUCUGACCCACCGUGCUCAGAAAGGCUCCUUAUGGAGGCUGUAGGGAGGUCAGAGCUGAGGUGAUAUUUGCAAUGUGCCAGUGCAGUUGUUUACACUGCUGAACCUGCAGGGCAGGAUCCAAUUCCUGUGUGGUGUGUUGGGUUGAGUAGGGGCUGGGGGUGUGGGGGUUCAGCAUGGGCUGGCUAUGGCUCCCUGCUCAGACAGAACCAUCAUGGCUAAGGCUGAGCUGCAGUGAGCAGGAGGAGGGAGGUCUGGAGACAAAGAGGUAAAGGUGAGUCAUCAGCAAGAGGAGAAGUGUUGAAUUUAUAUUCUAGGAUGAAAUCCUUGUAGUGUGUCAAGCAAAUCAGGCCAGAAUUUAGAGCUUGCACCACAUCAGGAUAUUCUGGGAAAGGUGGAGGGGGGCAGAGAGCCCCUCUCCAGAUGAUUGGAGAAGGACAGCAUUGCUGCAGAGUGCCAGAUGGAAAAAGCAGCUUUCUGUGACCUCGAGGCUUAGGGGAGCAGUGAGAGCUUUGGGGCUUUGUGUGCUCUGAACCACCAAGGGAGCAGCGAGGUAGCAGAAACUGGUGGGGAAAGGCACCAUUGGUGGUUUUAAAUCUCCAUCGAUUUAUGUAAUCUCUGAUGAUGAUGUUGUCACAAGCAUCAUUGCUGGGCAUGGUUUUUCUGCCCAGCUCUCUGUCUUCCUUGUUUUGUUGUGGAUCUACAUUUGGAGAUUGCACAGGUGCAACACACAAUGAGCUCACUCUGCUGGGACCUGAUGUAACUGACCCAAAUGCUGUAAAUCCCUUCACGUUUCUCCUUGGUUCUUCAUAUUGCCUUGCUUCAACACUCCAGGUUGCUCAAAGAGGGCUGGAAAUCACUUUAUGCAAAUACACAUUCUCUAAUUGCAUCUGGACAUGCACAGUGUAGGAGAAAUGCUCCUGAAGCAGUGAUUGAGCACCUGGUGGGAAGGCAGGGCCAACCCAGGGGAGCUCAGGUGUAUUCAAUGCACUGAGUGACCAGGAGGGCUGGAGCCAGGAUCCACCCCUGCCCAGACCUCAUUUAAGGGUUGGCAGUGGAGGUGAGGGCUUUUCACUGGAGAUCCCUGCCUACCUGAGGCCUUUUGAAGCCCAGCAGUGUUGCUGAGCUGCUUUCCCCCCAGGUUUGGAUUUCUGCCAUUUGCACAUCAGCCUUUUGCUCUGAAGGCUCUACAUACCGGGAAGCGCACGGCCGAGGAUUUGUUGCAGUGAACUGAGAUGGGAGCGAAGCUGUAGAGGGAUUUCAGCACGUCUCUGUUGAAUGUGUUCCAAGGGAUGGAGGAGAACUGCUGUGGGACAGAGACCUGUGGGCACAUGCAGACCUCCUCAUCGUUAAACCUGUGCAGGAGAGAUGCCAUGCUGAAAUGCUGUAGAGAUAGCCUGGUGCAUCAUCCCUUCCUGCCCUCAAGCUCAACCUGGAAAGGCUCCAAACUGCAUAUGGAAGACUUGGGGCUACCAGCCUGCUUGUGCAUAGGAUAAUCCCUACAAGGUCAGAUUUUCCUGCAGGCUACAGGGCUGCUCAAUGUCUGCUUGGGAUCACACAGUGUGCUUUACAGACCCCUUAUGCUGGGCCAUGCAGCACAGCCCCAUUCCCAAAGGGAUCCCCAUUCUCAUGCUGCCUCCAGCCUUAAAGCCUGGGCUUGGUGCCUGCUCUGUGGUAGGACUCCUUCCAGCCAUACCCUGCACAACCAGCACUGAAAACCCACAUUCACAAUUCUUUCUUCCAAUAUUGCUAGCAAAGAUCCCUUUUCCUGCUCCAGUCACCCUGUACCUGUUGACAAGGUUGAAGUAACGGUGCAGAUAGCCUGGAUCCACAGCACUUUUGCAGAGCUCCAGUUGUGUCUGGGGGUAGUAGUGCACGUAGUUCACGCACAUCUCCUCCAUGAUGCCAAACCCACCCUGUGGCACAGAAACAACCCCUGUCCCUGCAGAAACCAUGCCAGGAUCCAGCCUGGCAAUGCUGGAGCCACAGGGGAUGCAAAAAGGGGCUGCAGGGCUGAGCCCACACCUGCAUGCACACACACACACUGCCCUCUGUGCAAGAACAGGCAUUCAGGCCUGAUCCUGUGCUUUACAUUAAAAUGCAGAUUCCCUGUAAUCCCUCUGCUAUAUUUAGCUUUGUGCCUGUUGAUGGUACCUCUGACAGGCUCUUUAUAUUUUAGUUUUGCUAGGGGAAAAAAAAAAAGAUAUAACAUGCUCUGUCAAAAAAAAAUAAUACCACUUCUCUUUAAUUACAGUUAAUCCCCGGUGGAACAGUUUGUGAUGGGAAUUAAAGUGACACAUGCUACUUCUCAAUUAACACCUUGGCAUCCCAGCUGCAGGCAGCAUAGCUUUGUUGGCUCAUUUCUUUUCCAACCCCCUCCCCACCUUGUUUCUGCUUCAGUUUGCACUGAUUUCAACCCCUUUAUUGCCACACUCACCACAGUCACUUUGCUCCUGUCCUCUGUGUUGUAGGUACAGGUGGUGAUGAGUUCGUCACCCUGUGAGGUUCCAAUAGAUGUGAUGGGGUGAGGAAAUACAAAGCUCCCCCCUCCCCACACAUCAAAUAUUGGCACAAGUGAAUCCAUAAUGCAGCAGACCUCUGUGCUCUGAUGUGGUUUGGCCUCAGAGCCUCCCAAGCACUUGCUAUAGUUGCACCUCCCGGGUGGAUUCACUACAGCCCUACCCCAGGAAAUAUUUCUUCCCUUAUCAAUGCACUUGGGCCACAGUUUGCACACCCAGACUUGCACCCAACUUGGCUGCCCAUCAUCCUGCAGGAGCCCAAGCACAGCCCCAUUGGGACAGGAGCAGGGUUGAAGCUCUGAGCAGGGCACUGAUGAUGGAGCAGCAGAGAGGAGAUGAAUUCACUCACCGGAAAAACUGCAACCAACUCUUUCAGCAUGCGGAUCUCCUGAGUGGGAGGAGGAGAGGUGAGUCAGAGAGGCACCCAUGGGUGUCACCGACCCAGCACAGGGAGCAGGGCUGUACCUGGAAGUGGGGGCUGUAGUGCCUAUCGGCAUUCACCACCUGCUGCUCUCUGCCAUCCCGUGACAGCACAGUCACCACUUUUCUCCCUGCCAGGUGAGUGUGGAGCUGGGAGGCGAAGAUGCGGAUCCCAUCUGUAGGCAGUGCCUGGGGAAGGAUAUACCCAAAAAUACCCACUAAAACCUCCCUGAGAACAGGGUGGGCAGUUUGAAAAUGUACUUGAGUGAGCCCUUGAGGAGCUCCAGAAUGCAGAGGCCAUGUCAGGAGAUUAGGAAGUAGAUGACCUUUAAGGUCCCUUCCAACACAAGCCAUUCUAUGACUCUGUGAUCUCUGCAUUCCCAUAGAGCAAAGCACCCAGCAUGGCACAGCAGUAUGACCUCCUAGGGGGUUAUGGUACUGUGGGGAGAUGGAGCAGGUGGUUCCAGAGGAGAGAUACCUUCCUGGGGAAUUCAAUGCAUCCCAACCAGCUGCUCACUGUUGGUCGCAUACAGGGGGCUUCCUCCCAGCAUGACCCCAUGUGAAAGGGCUCAGGGAGUUGGGGUGCCAGGCACUCACCUUCUGGGUGCAUUUGUCAGUGCAGUACCCAGUGAGGAUGAAGGAGGUCUCCCCUGGGGGCACGGCCAUCACUGGUGUGUAGACCAAGCCCAGCUCCAUGAUGCCAGCAUCGUGGGGACGCAGGCUGGCUGUGUAGUACAGGCGGAUUCCUGAGGAAUCACGGCGUCCUGGCAGGAGAGAGAACAGGGCAUCAAACACAGCAUGGGCUCAGGACUGAGAAAGGGUGCUCAGCUUGGUAUAAGUGAAGGGAGAUUUAAUGAUCUUUGAGGCCUUCUCCAACAUUAAUGAUUCUAUGACUCUCAAAAACACAGCUCUUGUUUAAGUCAUUUGUCCAAAGGAUGAAAGCCAUGUUCCUACUAGGAACACAGCAAGAGGGAAAAUGCAAAUUCCCCCUGGAGAUGUGGGGCUGGCUGUGAGCCUCCAGUCUCUGGGUUGGAACCCAUCAUGGCAUGAGGAUAACAAGGGAGACCCUACUGGUUAACAUAGCAAAGCUGAUAAGUUAUGAAAGACGUGAGCUCCAUAUUUAUAGAUGUGUUUCUUCUCAAGUUGUUGAAUGUGCUAUGGUUGAUCUACAGUACAUAUGCUCUGGUCUCCUAAAAAUACACUUGGGUAGUCAAGAAGUUACAUGAUUUUAUGUAAAUGAAGAAACUGGGUUGUUUGCAAUCCUUUUAUUUUUUUGAUGUGUCUCCUGACAAUGUUAUUGAAGCAGGAUCACCACUAAAACAACAACUAAAUUCCCCUAUCCCUAGCCAGGUUGGUGCUGUCUCUCUGUUGACUUUGGUAUCACUGUUGGCUCUGAGCUCAGAUCCAUCACCACCACCUUGCACUGAAGUUGGGGGGCACCCCAUAGCACUCCCCCUAAGUAAAGGUGCUGAGCAUCUUCCCUGCCUGUGCUUGAGGAUGGAUCCAGGCUCUGGUGCCUGUUCCCUGAUAAUCCCUGGCACUAACCCAGUUCUCUCAUGUCUUGCUGGCAAGGCACUGGGUGUCACCAUGCCCCCCACUCACCUUUGAAUAUCAGAGGGUUGUGGUAGUGAAUCUCAAGGCGCAAAUAUCUGGAGGAGCCUGGACCACCAAAGGCAAGCCCUGCUUCUUUGGGGUAGUAGAAAGCCUGGAAACAGAGGGAUGGCAUUAAGGGAGCAAAUGGGGUGGUUUUCAUGAAAACUAAGCUGAAAUGACCAAGGAGAGGAAGGUAUGGGUGUAAUCCUGAGCCCUGCUAUGGGCUGGGGGAUGUGACUUGUUCCCUCUGUUGUUCUUAAUGUUGAGCUGUUCUUGCAUCUAAAGGCCUCUUGGGAUAACAUAAUCACUGAGGAGGGAGGGAAUCACACUGAUUUGUGAAGCUGAGGAGGUGGACUGAGGUGAGGAGGGAAUGCAAGGGUAUCCUGGAGGAGAAUAGGGUGCUCACAUGAACCCAAAUCCCAAUUGGAGUUGGGGCAGCCCAUGCAGGGAUGUUCAUUCCCAUGAGAAUGGGCCUGAAACAGUUGAGAGAUGGCAGGAAAGGUGCCCAGGAGUGAUGAUGGAUCCCAUCUUGCACCCACCUGCGCUCCCAUGGCCCAUGCUGCAAGCACAUGCCUGCAGUAGUUGAGCCUCUCUGGCUUCAUCUUGGAGUCACACAGACCACUGUAAUGGGGGAUGCUGUCAAACUCAGCUGAGCACUGGAAGAUUUCCAUGUGGUGGACCAGGGCUUCAUUACCCGCUGUGAUCACUGGCUCAUACUGCAAAGGGACAUCCGAGAAGGAGGGAAAUGCAUUAGGACCAUAUCUGAGAACCCAUCCCUGGUUGUGAUGUUCAUGCGUGCUCCACACAGAGCCUACUAUGGGUAUGUACUAUUGAGUUUUACUAUGCCAGGAGAUGCUUGAGCCCUGGGCAUGAGAGACCAAGGACCAAGAGCUCUUGGCUGGCCAUCAGAGCCCCUGGAGAAACAUCUGCUACACUCCCUGAAGGGGAAUGCACUGGAUGAGUAGCAGAGCUUGCCCUGCUUUGUGCUGACCAAGCCCUUUGCUGUUUUUUCUAGGUGGAGAGGGCUUCAGUUUUCCACAAAGAGGGUCCUGGCCCCACAGCCUGCAGCUCUUGGGCUCCAUUCUUGGCCAGCAUCUGCUCCGGGCACAAAGAGAUCACAUCGCGGCUGAUUGCAAAAGAAUACGUUUUAUGGCUAAUUUCAAGCAAGCAGAGAGAUCCUAUACCAAACCCACAGCAUCAACGUCUGGAUCAGAAACCCUGCAGCCCCUUUGUACCACUUGGACCUGGUGCUAUGCCCUGCACCCACUCCUCCAAACCCACAGGGGUCAAAUUCACCCAUCAGGCAGUGACCCCAAACACAGCCACAAAAGCAACAAAACUCACCCCAAAAUAUGAACUGUUACCAUCAGUCCAGAGCAUGGCCAGGUCUGCGUUCUCAAACUCGCCUCGGUCCGACAUCCCAAAGAGGAGCCCAAACUUGAACUCCCUGAUGAGGAUCUGGAAAUACACGGCUUGCUCGGGGUAGCUGACGUUCCACGAGAGCUCCAGCAGCCCCUGAGGAUCGAGGGGCACCUUGUAGGGGAAAUAGGUGCUGCGAGGUGCCGAGCCCUUCAGAGCCACCACCAGGAUGACCAGGAACACAGCCACCAUGGUGAAGUACAUGGAUGCCAGCUCCCGCAGCCUGAAGCUGGGGCAGGGGCAAGGCGUGCUGCCGUGGGUCUGCAUGCUGGGCAGGACAGCACCCACCCUCCUGGCUUUUGCCAUUUAUGUGCUGGCCCUCCUGGGUGAGCUGGGUCCAAAUGUUCUCUCUCUUGCACCACUGGAGGAAUCUCCCCACGUUGGAGACAGAAAUGAACCCCAGCUUCAUGGCUCCUGUUGGAGGAUCCUGAGCAGUUUGGGUGAACACUUGCAGCUCUUUGAAGCAUGAAAGGUGAGGGGGAUGAGUCACAGCAAGCACCAUGGCGUGGUGAUGGGGUGAUGUGGGAGCAGGGACAGGCCACAGCUGGCAAAAAGAGAGCAGCAUUUCUCACUGGGGGCACCACAGAGAUAUUCCAUCCCCAUUGCUUCCCCCAAACACUGCCACAGCCGAGCCACCUAAUGAAAUCCUACUUGCCUGUGCAUGCUAUAUUAGGGUUACCAUGGAUAUGGUGCCACAAACACUGGGCUGUGGCUUUGUUAUAUAAACAGGAGAGAUUGCCACAAAUACCCAAAAUAUCUGAGAAGGACAGGAAGAGACAAAAGCAUUUGCUGGGUUUGUUUAUACAGGGUUGUGUGAUGCGGUGGAUGGUGUCAGUGGGAGGUGGGAGAGAUUUGGGCUGCAUCUGAGAACUGGAGCAUAACCGAGCUGAUAUCAUGGUGGUCUCAGGCUCCAUAGCUCUUAGAGGCUCCCUCUGGGCUGUGCUCUCUGCAGACCAUGAUGUGAUUUGUGCCUUUUGCCAUGCUCAAGCUGGCCCGAGCUGAGUGCCAUGCAGCCCUCCCCUAUUGCUGCCUUAUGGGAUGGGAUUCUGCUGCCUGCAGUGGGAGGGGAACGGGACUGGUGAUGCUGGAGACAUACACUCAGCUGCUGGAGGUGUCCUCACCCAGCAAGGCUGAGCCAUGCCAGGUACAGCAAGUCCCUUUGUGCAGUUGAAGAAAUUGUGUAAUUCAGAGCAAAAACAGCUCUAGAAAUGGAGGUGGAAUGUAAGGGAGAUAGAGACAUCACAGUGGCUAAAAUUGUAUUGCACUCCCACUCCCCUGCCAAUAAAAGCACCAUAAAUAAAGUGGCUUUGCAAUACCCAUCUCCACGCAUUGUAACACGGAUUCACGUGUCCCUGCAAAAGAUGGUCCAGGCAGGAUUAAACGAGCUUCCAUUCUCCAUCCAUGGCACCUUCCCAUGGUCACCUCAUGGCCUUCCAGCUCCCUUCCCUGCAGCCCUAAAGCACUUCUGCAUGGCUCUGCUCCCUGCUGCCAGCCCUCCUCAUAGCUUUUCCCAUAGCCAUUGAUACCUGCAACAGGAGAGUUACCAGAAGGUAUAAUAAAGGGUAGAUAUAGUGGAUAAAUAUUAUAUAUAUGAAUAAUUCAACGUGGCUCCAGUACAGACUUGCCUUAUGUGGCUUCAGCCGUAACCAGCUUUGGUUCUGGUUGGUGGCCACAUAAUCCAAGGGUCAAAUAGAGCCACGUUUGGAAGGAAGAUGUCACUCGUGUCACAAUAACCAAGUCUGCUUCUCCCUGAAGGCAGCACAUUGUGAGCGGUACCUUGGGGAAGGAGGGGGGGGGAAAAGCCUGAUUCAGAUGCUGAAUGAUGCAGAUCAUGAGAUAUUCCUGGGCAGUUUGAUCCCAAGCCCUGGGGCAGGUAUGAGGAAAAAAGAACAUGUGGAUGCAGGGGUGCACUUAUGCUGUGCAUACACCAGUGGAGGCAUUGGGGGGAAGCAGCUGCUUAUAAUGCAUGCACCUUACUUAAAGCCUACAAAUGGUUUGGCUCCUGGCUGUUGCUGCUCUGUUUAUCCCACAGCCUUGGCAGGCACGGGACCCCUUCCAAACGGCAAGGAGAGCCAAUGGAAGUUGUCACUGGCUUGUGGCCAGCUCUCGAGGCUUGUGACUGGCUCCCAUGCUGCAGCUCCUCAUUAGCACUUCCCUUCUGCAAUAAUGUCUGUUGCAAAGUCUGCGGGAUUACAGCUCUUUGCACCCUGUUCUUGUUCAGUCCCUGGCACAAGAAAGCUGUGCUCACAACAGGCUACGGAAAUAUGGCAUAAAAACCUUUCUCUCCUUCACAGGUUCGAUAGCUGAUCUUUGCAGGGUUGCUUUUAGAGUAAAUGGAUCUGGUGUUCGGGUUCCACAAAAUAAGAUCUAUACUUGCUGAAGGCAGCUCAAGUAUUCGCUAAGUCCUUGCUGUAACAUUGUUUUUCCUUGCUGCUGUCCUGGGUUCAGAUCUGUGAAGAAUUGCUUUGACAUAUUGGUUAUAAAAGCAGCUCAGGAAGGAAGGAGGCUGUUUAUUUCCAUGCAGGGAUAGGGGUACUGAAACUGAAAUGAAUGGCCCGAAAACGAGCCUCUAUCUUUCACAUUUCCCAACAAAGAUGCAAUGAUAAAUUGCCAGGCAAUGACGUUUGACCCAUAAGAGUAAUAAAAAGCUAAAACUGUGUCUUCUUGGCAUAGCUUUCCAAUAUGUUCUGCGCAAAACCCGAGCAACCUUGAAGCAGAGCUGAAAAAGAACCAUGAUAUGGACUGCUCAGUGCUAACCAAUGCAGCCCGUGAUAAUUAAACACUGAUGGUCUGAAGUGGACUUUCCAAAGCUGAACUAUUUGUUGUCCCCUUGCUUUCAUUUCUUGCUGUCAGACUUGUGCUCAGAUCCCUGCUCAGGCGUUUGAACUGCGUGCAAAGUGCAUUGAAAUUACUGGCUGUAAUUAGUUUAUUUAGGGAGCAAUUAAUUAAACACAACUGUUUCCCUCUCUAUAGAUUAAAAGAGCGCUAUAAGAGAUAGCAUCUUAAAAAGAGCAGAUGUGCUCUGAAAGGACCAGAGACCAACUGUUCCAUCAGUUGAGGAGGGCUGGACAAGUAGCAGAGGGCCAAAGAGAAACACGAAGUUCAGUGUUAGGGACAGCAGUGCCAAUGGCUCCAGGGGGUGCCCACCUGCUUGAGGAGUGGCUCCAAGCCACAGCUUUUCCCUGUUACUAAAUGAUUUUGUUUUCGGCUCUGGGACACAAGAACCUUUUCCCUCCCUCUCUUUGAUGACCGCUUGGAUGGGGAUGUAAUUCCGUGCCACCUCUGCUCGAGCAGGGCGCGUUGUGCUCAGAGCUGCAGCGCCUUGGGGGGGUCUGCGGAUGGGGCUGCCCGAGUCGCUGGGGUGGUACUGAUAAGGAAAAGAGAUGAGAGCGGUUCUUACCAAAAACCUCAGCGUAACUCCUGGUGAAUGGUGCAUGGGACAAAGCCGUGUAAUGUGUGAAAAGCCACGGGGAUGCUUGUGGGGCUAAGCGGGGAGCA